rnacentral:rRNA from 1 species
CUAAGGUAGCAAAGUCAUUUGUUAUUUAAUUGAUAACUGGAAUGAAAGGCUAGACUAGCUUACUUUGUUUGUGGGAUUAUGUAGAAGCUUAAAGUUAAGGUAAGAAUUCUUUAAUUUUCUAGGGGACGAUAAGACCCUAGAAGCUUGACGAGAAGAUUAGUUUGUUUUAAAUGUUUAUUUGUUUUACUGGGGCGGUAAAAGUAAUUAAGCUAUUUAUUACUCAAAAGAUCCUAAAAAUAUAGACAAAAUGGAGAAGUUACUCUAGGGAUAA